rnacentral:rRNA from 1 species
CCUACGGGAGGCAGCAGUGAGGAAUAUUGGUCAAUGGACGAGAGUCUGAACCAGCCAAGUAGCGUGAAGGAUGACUGCCCUAUGGGUUGUAAACUUCUUUUAUAUGGGAAUAAAAUGUUCCACGUGUGGGAUUUUGUAUGUACCAUAUGAAUAAGGAUCGGCUAACUCCGUGCCAGCAGCCGCGGUAAUACGGAGGAUCCGAGCGUUAUCCGGAUUUAUUGGGUUUAAAGGGAGCGUAGGUGGAUUGUUAAGUCAGUUGUGAAAGUUUGCGGCUCAACCGUAAAAUUGCAGUUGAAACUGGCAGUCUUGAGUACAGUAGAGGUGGGCGGAAUUCGUGGUGUAGCGGUGAAAUGCUUAGAUAUCACUAAGAACUCCGAUUGCGAAGGCAGUUCACUGGACUGCAACUGACACUGAGGCUCGAAAGUGUGGCUAUCAAACAGGAUUAGAUACCCGGGUAGUC